AUACGAAGGGGGCAAGCGUUGUUCGGAAUAACUGGGCGUAAAGCGCACGUAGGCGGAGUGUUAAGUUAGAGGUGAAAUCCCAGGGCUCAACCCUGGAACGGCCUUUAAUACUGGCAAUCUAGAGACCGAGAGAGGUGAGUGGAAUUCCGAGUGUAGAGGUGAAAUUCGUAGAUAUUCGGAGGAACACCAGUGGCGAAGGCGGCUCACUGGCUCGGUACUGACGCUGAGGUGCGAAAGCGUGGGGAGCAAACAGGAUUAGAAACCCUAGUAGUCC
rnacentral:rRNA from 1 species